rnacentral:rRNA from 1 species
UACAUGGGGUGCAACCGUUGCUCGGAAUUAUUGGGCGUAAAGCGCGCGUAGGCGGUUACUCAAGUCGGAUGUGAAAGCCCUCGGCUUAACUGAGGAAGUGCACCCGAAACUGAGUAGCUAGAGUACCAAAGAGGGUCGCGGAAUUCCCGGUGUAGAGGUGAAAUUCGUAGAUAUCGAGAGGAACACCGGUGGCGAAGGCGGCGAUCUGGACGAUGACUGACGCUGAGGAGCGAAAGCGUGGGGAGCGAACAGG